GGACGGGCGGUGUGUACAAGACCCGGGAACGCAUUCACCGUGGCACGCUGAUCCACGAUUACUAGUAAUUCCAGCUUCAUGCACUCGAGUUGCAGAGUGCAAUCCGAACUGAGGCAUCUUUUCGGGAUUUGCUUAACGUUGCCGUUUUGCUUCCUGUUGUAGAUGCCAUUGUAGCACGUGUGUAGCCCAACACGUAAGGGCCAUGAGGACUUGACGUCAUCCCCACCUUCCUCCAGCUUAUCACUGGCAGUUCUUUCAGAGUGCCCAACUUAAUGAUGGCAACUAAAAGUGAGGGUUGCGCUCGUUGCGGGACUUAACCCAACAUCUCACGACACGAGCUGACGACAGCCAUGCAGCACCUGUGUUUCGUCCGGCCGAACCGAAAACUCUAAUCUCUUAGAGUCGCGACGAACAUGUCAAGUGUUGGUAAGGUUCUGCGCGUAUCUUCGAAUUAAACCACAUGCUCCACUACUUGUGCGGGUCCCCGUCAAUUCAUUUGAGUUUUAACCUUGCGGUCGUACUCCCCAGGCGGUGUGUUUAUCGCUUUCGCUGCGACACUGAAAAUAAAUUUCCAACGUCUAACACACAUCGUUUACGGCAUGGACUACGAGGGUAUCUAAUCCUCUUCGCUACCCAUGCUUUCGUUCCUCAGUGUCAGUAAUGAUCCAGAAAGCUGCCUUCGCAAUUGGUAUUCUUUCUAAUAUCUACGAAUUUCACCUCUACACUAGAAAUUCUGCUUU
rnacentral:rRNA from 1 species